CUGAACUGAGGGAGUUUAAAUCCCAGAGAGACACCAGCAAUGUGCAUGAAGACUGUCUGUCUGUUUUGGGGAGAUUAGACCUGAUGAAACCCAGGAGUUCGCCUGAAUUCUGGAAGGAGCUUCCUGGUCUUAAUCAUCCAGUCCAGCCCAAGACACAGACACACACAAAAGAUGCCCUCUCUC